UACGUAGGGACCGAGCGUUGUCCGGAAUCAUUGGGCGUAAAGAGCGUGUAGGCGGCCACUUAAGUCCUGCGUGAGAUCCUGCGGCUCAACCGCAGGCGGUCGUGGGAAACUGGGUGGCUAGAGUGCGGGAGAGGAGAGUGGAAUUCCUGGUGUAGCGGUGGAAUGCGCAGAUAUCGGGAAGAACACCCGUGGCGAAGGCGGCCCUCUGGGACGGUACUGACGCUGAGACGCGAAAGCGUGGGGAGCGAACAGG
rnacentral:rRNA from 1 species